rnacentral:rRNA from 1 species
ACGGGGCUAAACCAUGCACCGAAGCUGCGGCAGCGACACUGUGUGUUGUUGGGUAGGGGAGCGUUCUGUAAGCCUGUGAAGGUGGCCUGUGAGGGUUGCUGGAGGUAUCAGAAGUGCGAAUGCUGACAUAAGUAACGAUAAAGCGGGUGAAAAGCCCGCUCGCCGGAAGACCAAGGGUUCCUGUCCAACGUUAAUCGGGGCAGGGUGAGUCGACCCCUAAGGCGAGGCCGAAAGGCGUAGUCGAUGGGAAACGGGUUAAUAUUCCCGUACUUGGUGUUACUGCGAAGGGGGGACGGAGAAGGCUAUGUUGGCCGGGCGACGGUUGUCCCGGUUUAAGCGUGUAGGUGUGUGUUCCAGGUAAAUCCGGUUCACUUUAACACUGAGGCGUGACGACGAGGCACUACGGUGCUGAAGCAACAAAUGCCCUGCUUCCAGGAAAAGCCUCUAAGCAUCAGGUAACAUCAAAUCGUACCCCAAACCGACACAGGUGGUCAGGUAGAGAAUACCAAGGCGCUUGAGAGAACUCGGGUGAAGGAACUAGGCAAAAUGGUGCCGUAACUUCGGGAGAAGGCACGCUGACACGUAGGUGAAGUGAUUUACUCACGGAGCUGAAGUCAGUCGAAGAUACCAGCUGGCUGCAACUGUUUAUUAAAAACACAGCACUGUGCAAACACGAAAGUGGACGUAUACGGUGUGACGCCUGCCCGGUGCCGGAAGGUUAAUUGAUGGGGUCAGCGCAAGCGAAGCUCCUGAUCGAAGCCCCGGUAAACGGCGGCCGUAACUAUAACGGUCCUAAGGUAGCGAAAUUCCUUGUCGGGUAAGUUCCGACCUGCACGAAUGGCGUAAUGAUGGCCAGGCUGUCUCCACCCGAGACUCAGUGAAAUUGAACUCGCUGUGAAGAUGCAGUGUACCCGCGGCAAGACGGAAAGACCCCGUGAACCUUUACUAUAGCUUGACACUGAACAUUGAGCCUUGAUGUGUAGGAUAGGUGGGAGGCUUUGAAGCGUGGACGCCAGUCUGCGUGGAGCCGACCUUGAAAUACCACCCUUUAAUGUUUGAUGUUCUAACGUGGACCCGUGAUCCGGGUUGCGGACAGUGUCUGGUGGGUAGUUUGACUGGGGCGGUCUCCUCCUAAAGAGUAACGGAGGAGCACGAAGGUUGGCUAAUCCUGGUCGGACAUCAGGAGGUUAGUGCAAUGGCAUAAGCCAGCUUGACUGCGAGCGUGACGGCGCGAGCAGGUGCGAAAGCAGGUCAUAGUGAUCCGGUGGUUCUGAAUGGAAGGGCCAUCGCUCAACGGAUAAAAGGUACUCCGGGGAUAACAGGCUGAUACCGCCCAAGAGUUCAUAUCGACGGCGGUGUUUGGCACCUCGAUGUCGGCUCAUCACAUCCUGGGGCUGAAGUAGGUCCCAAGGGUAUGGCUGUUCGCCAUUUAAAGUGGUACGCGAGCUGGGUUUAGAACGUCGUGAGACAGUUCGGUCCCUAUCUGCCGUGGGCGCUGGAGAACUGAGGGGGGCUGCUCCUAGUACGAGAGGACCGGAGUGGACGCAUCACUGGUGUUCGGGUUGUCAUGCCAAUGGCACUGCCCGGUAGCUAAAUGCGGAAGAGAUAAGUGCUGAAAGCAUCUAAGCACGAAACUUGCCCCGAGAUGAGUUCUCCCUGAGACUUAAAGUCUCCUGAAGGAACGUUGAAGACGACGACGUUGAUAG